AUACUUACCUGGCAGGAGAUACCACCAUACCACCAUGAAGGUGGUUCACCCAGGGCGAGGCUCAGCCAUUGCACUUCGGUUGUGCUGACCCGUGCGAAUUCCCCAAAUGUGGGAAUCUCGACUGCAUAAUUUGUGGUAGUGGGGGACUGCGUCCGCGCUCUCCCCUG